AGGAUUUGCAACUGCUUCAACCAUUGCAAGGCAGUCCGAUUCCAAAAUCAACGGAUCGUUGGAUUUGCCGAGUCGCCAGAGAUGGUGCAGCGCCGAAAGGAGGCCAGAAACUUCAACCUGCAAAGCUGAGGCAGCAGUAACUCGAGAGAACACCUGGAUCAGGGGGGCUGCCACAGAGAAGAUGGAGCAGAAAGGUUGAUUUCGGGGUUUAAAGCGUUAGAGGAGGUAAGUUGGUUUAUCCGUGUUGAUCGGGACUGAGCUAACGUAGAUUCAACCACAAAGGAUGGAUCGGGCUUCUGACGAGUAAAGAUGAACCUGUUUCGCGCCUUCCAUGUUUGCCAGAGAAGUGCAGCGACAACGUCCAUACCAGAUCGCGGCCAACUGUCACAGCGGAGGCCCAAGAAGUAGCUAUCGUUCUACUGCAGUCCUAGUGUUCAAUCCAGUAAGCCUAAAAAAGGAAAGGCUUGCCUCUUCUGCUUUGUUUAACUUCUGUGCUC